rfam:Brachypodium distachyon strain Bd21 chromosome 5, whole genome shotgun sequence.
AUUCUACUCCCUCCGACCGGUAUUACUUGUUUCAAAUUUGCCCAAAUACGGAUGUAUCCAAGCGUAAAAAGCAUCUAGAUACAUGUAAUAUUUCGACAAGUAAUUCCGGCCGGAGGGAGUAGCUG